rnacentral:rRNA from 1 species
UGGGGAAUAUUGCACAAUGGGCGCAAGCCUGAUGCAGCCAUGCCGCGUGUAUGAAGAAGGCCUUCGGGUUGUAAAGUACUUUCAGCGAGGAGGAAGGCGUUGUGGUUAAUAACCGCAGCGAUUGACGUUAAUCGCAGAAGAAGCACCGGCUAACUCCGUGCCAGCAGCCGCGGUAAUACGGAGGGUGCAAGCGUUAAUCGGAAUUACUGGGCGUAAAGCGCACGCAGGCGGUCUGUCAAGUCGGAUGUGAAAUCCCCGGGCUCAACCUGGGAACUGCAUCCGAAACUGGCAGGCUAGAGUCUUGUAGAGGGGGGUAGAAUUCCAGGUGUAGCGGUGAAAUGCGUAGAGAUCUGGAGGAAUACCGGUGGCGAAGGCGGCCCCCUGGACAAAGACUGACGCUCAGGUGCGAAAGCGUGGGGAGCAAACA